CCAGUUUUUCAGUGCCCAUUCCCGAUUUUCCGAGCCCCAUUCCCAGUUUUUCAGUGCCCAUUCCUGGUUUUUGGGGCCCAUUCCUGGUUUUUUGAGGCCAUUCCCAAUUUUUUGGGCCCCAUUUCCGAUUUUCCAGGGCUCUCAGAACUGGUGAGUGUAGAACACCUCGACAUUCCCGAUUUUCCAUGCCCAUUCCCAAUUUUCCAAGCCCCAUUCCCGUUUUUU